rnacentral:rRNA from 1 species
GAUGAACGCUGGCGGCGUGCCUAAUACAUGCAAGUCGAGCGAACAGACGAGGAGCUUGCUCCUCUGACGUUAGCGGCGGACGGGUGAGUAACACGUGGAUAACCUACCUAUAAGACUGGGAUAACUUCGGGAAACCGGAGCUAAUACCGGAUAAUAUAUUGAACCGCAUGGUUCAAUAGUGAAAGACGGUUUUGCUGUCACUUAUAGAUGGAUCCGCGCCGCAUUAGCUAGUUGGUAAGGUAACGGCUUACCAAGGCAACGAUGCGUAGCCGACCUGAGAGGGUGAUCGGCCACACUGGUACUGAGACACGGUCCAGACUCCUACGGGAGGCAGCAGUAGGGAAUCUUCCGCAAAGGGCGAAAGCCUGACGGAGCAACGCCGCGUGAGUGAUGAAAGUCUUCGGAUCGUAAAACUCUGUUAUUAGGGAAGAACAAAUGUGUAAGUAACUAUGCACGUCUUGACGGUACCUAAUCAGAAAGCCACGGCUAACUACGUG